rnacentral:rRNA from 1 species
UACGGAAGGUGCAAGCGUUAAUCGGAAUUACUGGGCGUAAAGCGUGCGUAGGCGGCUUGGUAAGUCGGGCGUGAAAUCCCCAGGCUCAACCUGGGAACUGCGUCCGAUACUGGAUGGCUUGAAUUCGGGAGAGGGAUGCAGAAUUCCAGGUGUAGCGGUGAAAUGCGUAGAUAUCUGGAGGAAUACCGGUGGCGAAGGCGGCAUCCUGGACCGACAUUGACGCUGAGGAGCGAAAGCUAGGGGAGCAAACGGG